CGGCCUGAUGGUUUGGGCUCAAGCCAUUGCCAUGGCAGGGUGUGAGGAUCGAAGUGGAAAACAGGUUUCCUGAGUUUGUCAGCUGCUUGGCACAAAGGCUUAAUCUGCUGCCAAGGGUGUAGUGUUGCAUCACAAAACUGGGGCCUCGUUGCAGCUGUGUAGUGUGUGAGUGUAUACCUCUGUAAGGUGUAUCUGUCCAGAAACACUGGGGCUGUGAGUCUGAAAUAACUGCAACUCACUCCAUUACUGGAACAGUGGAAUGCUGGAAACCACUCCUCAGAUCCCCAGCCAGUGUCAGUCUGUACACCUACGCUGGCAGUCAGAUUCCAACUACGUUUCUGGCCUCAAAUAAUGGGAUUUGGAAUAUGUGCUAUUCCUCCUGGGAUAAGUAGCAACUACUGAAGGCUAUUGUACCUCAAAACUGAGCCUUUCACUUUUGAGAAUAAUGCUUCCACCACGGUCAAGGAGUCUAUUUAAAACUUUGUCUUGCAGAUUUGGAAAGAAAAAUCAUAUUUGAAAUUUGAUAGGAAAAAAAAUGCUGUUUUAUGAAAAUAAACCACUGUAUACAACUUCCUUCUCAUCCUUAAACUGUGUGCUUACGUACAAAUAAAUUUCACGUGAAAAGGAAAGGUCUGGGUCAUGAAGGCCAACUUUCAGAAGAUAAGCUGAAUCUUUUCUUCAUAAAAUGCCUUAUUCCUCAAAGUAUGUUUGCUGUCCUCAGUUCCACUCAGCGACCUGCUGACCAGUAGUGGCUCUGGAAUGACCUAGUUCCUCAGCUGUACUCAGGAACUGCUUGGGAGAUAAUGACGUGAGGCAUCAAGAGAAGUGAUUUUGAAAUGUGCCAGAUCCUAUUAUUCUGGAAAGCAAUGGAGGUUUGUCCACUUAUUUCAAGGAACUCGAGUCUUAUGUCUGUAGUUUUGAUUUUCAAACCGAUUGAUUUUUAAUUUUUCUCAAACUGCAUUGGAACAUGCAUUUCUCUCACUCAAAGAAAGGAUCAGAUCACAGCAUCAUUACUGUACAAGAUGACAUCUGGAUUUGUAAGUUCUGAUAUGUGCAUCGCAUAGAAUCAGAGAAUCACAGAAUUGUAGUAUCACAUACCAGAUGGUGAGAUCUAUCCAUAGGAUUUAUAAGUAUACUAGAUUUGGAGUUGCUUGAGCAAUAUCACAAACGUAGGUUGUUAUGGUUUUCCUUAUUGUUAAUACUAAAGUAUUCAGAACAAUAAGAUAAUGAAGUCUAUCUAAGUAUCAGCAUUUUGCUUCUGCUACUGGUCAUUUGAAAUAUAUUUCUGUAUUUGGUUACCAUAAAGGGAGCCCAUUACCAGUCAGGUUUUCCCAGCAUUUUCAGCCACUAUCAAGAGACAAUGGAGUAUCUACAGCUGACUUACUUAGUGGCAACAUAGAAGAUAGUAGUAGCAGGAAAAAAAAAAGAAAGAAAAUAAUACAUUUUUAUAUAUUCACCAAAAUUCUGAGACCUCAACGCAAUACAGGAAAAAGAAGAGAAAAAAAAAGGUAUUUGAAAUGCAAAUUUCAACAGCUCUGCUCGGUGCUACUUGAAAAUAUAUUACAAGCAUCAUACUAGAUUUAUCCGAAGAAGUAACUGUGAUCUUUUAAAAUUAGUGUUCUUCGUGACAUAUUCUGCUUGUUACACUUCCAUAGGUGGUUGGUUUUUUUUUAUUUGUUUUUUUUUCUUUUUUUCCAGCUGGUUUCUAUAGAAAAGGCUUCAUUAUGAUGUAACUAAAACCAAUAUUGAUCUAUGAGUUAAUAAUAACAAUAUAGAUUUUUGCCAUUAAAAGGAUAUUUUAUCACAUUGGGAAAAGAGUUUAUAUGAAGUUAUGUGCCCACAAGGAACUUCAGAAUAGCAAUGAAUGAAUCUGUAGAGAUUUUUUUUUUUUACAUGACUUUGUUAAGCCCUUAAAACAUUUAUAGAGAUUUUAAUGUUUUUGAGCUCAUUGUAAAAACACAAAACUUUGGCAAACUUUUUUCAAAAGUAUUGAGGAUACAGUAAAAAAUAUCCCAAAUAAGUGGACAUUCUUAUAAGAAUGACUGGGCUUUCAGCUGGUGACUAUCAGCCUUACUCCCCUGAAUUUGAUAAGCAUAUGCCGCCUGUCUGGUGUUGCAGGCCUUUACAGUGUGGAGUCUUCCACAAAAGCAUAAGCCUAGCUCUAAAUUAUGAACCAUUUUUUGAGUUGAUGAGAUAACGCUAAUAAGCAAUAGGUAAAGAUCUGGCAGACAAGAUGCAUGUGAGUCAUGAAUGUGAAAAAAAACCUAAACAAUAGAACUACUAGGUAUUAUCUGUCAUUUAAGACCAGUAUGUACUGACUAGCCCAUGGGUGUCCAAUGUUUUGGCUUGCCUGGGUUGCAUUAAGUGAAGAGGAAUAAUCUUGGUCAAUAUAUAUAAUAUAAAAUAUAGUUAAUUUAUAUAAGUAACAAAACUUAUUAUUUUAAUAUUUUAUUUUGUUAAAGCAUAACCAAAAGAGCAAUGGAAACAUAAGAGUAGUGAGAUAUUUGACCUUGUUUUUGUGAAACUGUGCAUCAGUCUGUUUUGAUGGAAGGGGUUGAAAAUCUUAGUGAGUUAUCAAGGUAUUUGCCAGAGAUUUUUUGAUUAAAUUUACCAAUACUUUAUCCAUAAAUAUAUGUGAACACAUAUGUACAUACUGCUGUCGUGUUUUUAUAAUUUUUUGUUAUUGGUAUUCCACAUCAUAACAUCAUGUAGUGUACUGGGAGUUAAAGAGUUAAUGCUCCAGUUCUGGGCACCUGUCCAGAAGAGAAGAACUACAUUCCCCAGAACACUUUGCAUUCAGAGAGGAGAUAUAACCCCUGCCAUAGUCACAACACCUUCCCUUUUUUGGCUCUCCUCCCUGCUGCUUGUCCUGACCGCGCACAUUGCCACAGCACUAGUGCAAGGCCUACAGCUUUUGGACACUCUUUCUCUCAUUAUAUUUGAUUUAUAUGCUUAAAUUCUAAUUAUAUUGUUUUAUAGUGUGUUAUCUUGCAUUCCGAUACCAUAUUUAGUAAAUUAGUUUGUUUCUCCUCAGAUCAUUUCCACUGUUAUUAAUUAUUCGGGGUCCCCUGUUUCCCCAUUCCAGAGGUGCAGAUCUGCGGAUCCCUCUGCAAUGAAAAGUGAAAAAACAGUGAGAAAAAGGGCUAAAAUGACCAUUUUGGGCUCUUGGUGGUUUAGGGGUGUUUUUAGGGUUUUUUUGUGCUCUUUUUGCUGUUUUUUUUUUGCCCCAGAUGAUCCCUCCUAACUGUGCUUAGGGUCACCUGGGUGCUUUAGUGAUCACUAGUCAAGAGACAGGGCCAAACCAUCCCAUAAAACAUUGACAGCUGCCAAGAAGCAAUGGUAUGAAUAAGAAGUGAUUGUGAAGUGAAAAAUAUUUUUAUCUGAUAAGGUAGGUUUGAUAAAGUGUAAUGAAGAGACAUAUUCUUUGAAUUGAAUAUCUGACUGCAGCUCUACACAUUCCCUUUGAAAAUCUACAGGUAAUUCAUUUAUAUCAACUGAAAAUGGAGUUGCAAAUUUACCAUGCAGCCCACGGGUUGGACACGACUGGACUAGCCUGUAUAUCAUUAUUGUUUGUGUGAUUAUCUCCUAACAAGAUUAGUGGAUACUCUUUACUGGAUAUUUCAAUCACUUUUUUGUUUUUAAGAAUGUUAACUAGUAUAUAGGAUUCCUAGCUACCGUAAAAGUCAUGAGUUGUUACAUGAUAAGCAAUUCUUGAUAACUGGCAUUUGAUUAAUGUGUUUGCAGAAAAAUCAGCGCCAAGUCCCCACUGUAGCUCCCUGAAGAAUGCUUACUGAAAGGUGAAUGGCUGAGACUGAGCAGUAGUUUGUGACACACAGUACCCAGUAUGAUUCUUUCUGAGGUGGGAGUUGAACAGCCCUUUUAGCUUUCCAGACCAGAGUCUCCAGUUUGCCUGAACUGUGCUUUGUUUUUGAGCUCAUUGUAAAGACUCAGAAGGGAAAACACGACAUUUCAGUUAUCCUUUUGCUCCUUCUUUCAGGACCUGCCAGGUGCCUGUUAAGUCUUUGCCAUGAAUCAUUUAUCCUUGAGCUUGUCUGUUUUAUGAGGCCAGCCCAUAGUUGCUGGGGCCACUGUAGUAUCAGGAGACUGGGAACUCCAAAGUGCAGCAGAGCUAAUGAUAUCUUCUUUUCAGCCACAUUCGUACUGGCAAAAUGGAUAUUUUAGAAGCUAUUGUGCUACUGUAAAAGCAAAGGGAUAUGGCUUUAAUGAGGGACUGGAAUGAAUCAGACUUGCUAAUCAGGUAUGCUGUCCAUGUUGCCAGUGCUGCUGCUUUAUGAUAGCAUAAACAGUGCUGAUAGCCAUUAUGUGUAUUUAACAGAGGUGUCUGGUUCUGUGCUACCAUUUUCUUUGCAGCAGAGCUAGAACUGUUUUCCAAUGAAUUGUAGAUCAUCUUCCCUUCCAAGGAGUCAGAACAGUUCAGAGAGUCAGUCGGGUGUGUGCAAACUUGACUUCAUUCACGGGAAACUAAACUGUAGGUUCUCUUCCCAAUAAGCACCAAAUGUUUUCCAGAAGUCACUGAAGACGCAGGAAUGCAACACAAUGACUUGUUCGCUACAGCACAAGGCCUCCUGCGCAUGCCAAGUGUCUUAGUUUCAGUUUUGAUGGAAUUGUUUUCUUCAGAGUGUCUGGUGUGCUGCUGCGUUUUUGGUUCUAGGAGAAAAACAGUGCUGAUAACUCACCGAUGUUUAUAGUUGCUGCUAAGCAAUGUUGUACAGAACCAAGUACAUUCACUGCAAGAAGCCCAAGGAGCUGGGAGGGACAUAAUUAGGACAGCUGACUUAAAUUGGCCAUAGGGAUAUUCCAUACCAUAUGACAUCAUGUGGAAGGUGUUUUGAAAGAAUGGGAGUUCAUCUCACUCUCUUCCACUGCUCAAGGGGCUAGCUAAACAUCAGUCGGCAGAUGGUGAGAAAUUGCUUGUGCAUCGUGUGUUACAUAUAUUCAUAUAUAUAUAUAUAUGUAUAUACCAUUUUCCUUUUCUCUAUCUUAUUAAAUAGUUUUAACUCACAAGUUCUACUUUGUUUUUUCCAAUUCUCUUCCCCACCCCACUUGGAGGGUGGGAGUGAGUGAACAACUGUCUGGUGCUCAGCCACCUUCCAGGUUAAACCACAACACCAAGCAUGCCUGUGCCAUUUGAAUAUUUAGAAACCAACAGGAGGUCAUGAAAUGUUCAGAAGAGCUCUUUUAUUGUAUGACAAUCCAUUAGAUUUGUAUGCCUUUAUAUUUACCGUUGAUUAUACAGCCAUCUCUUCAUUCAAGAUCCUUUCUCUUCUUUAACUGCUUUAUCUUUGGUUGUUUUCUACCCUUUCUGUUUUUGUAUUCUAUGACUCUUGAAGAAUUAUACCUCUUUUCUUCCUGUAGAAAUGGCAAUAUACCACCCUUUAUUCUCACAGAAGUUCCAGAAAGGUGCAUCAGACAUCAAUCUGUGCCCCCAAAGGCCAGAACUUUCACUGAAGUCAGGAUAGAACUUCAUUAUCAGCAACUGAAGAAAUCCACUAACCUCAUGACUGCAAUCACAUACACAAUGACCAUAUUAAAAUCAAGAAGAUUAAGUCCCUUUUAUUGAAGACACAGGACAAUAAGUUUCAUUUGGAGGUGUGCCCCUACUACAGAGUCUUCAUAAAUAUGGUCUGGUGAGAACACCGGACUGAGCCAGUCGCUAUUUUGGAGGCUACACCAUGUGUCUUGUAUUCAUUAUAAGCGACACCCUGAUAGGCAACACUUCCCUUGGAGCUAAUUCAGGUCCUAACUCAUGAGCACCACAGAAGACAUCUGCAAAGGACUAUCUGAGGACUCUAUCAUGGUCUGCAUCAGGAACACCCUCUGCUUCAGAUACCAACCAGGGAGGAGCCCUGUCUGCUCACUCGCAGUAUUGUCCCAGAGUCGGAGAAGCAAGAUGUCAUCUACCCCUACAAAACCUUUGUUUGGACAAUGAGCAAACUCAGAAUAAGGAAGUGGCUGGGAAGAAGACACCAGAAAUUAUCCAGCUUUCUCAUUUCAGCAAAGAUUGUUUCUGUGUGUGAUCAUACACACAAUCAUAGGUGCAGCAGCGACAUGUUUCAGUAUUCUGCACGAGACAGACAGAAAGACUGUAGAGGACUUCUUUGACUUGCCUAUAUGAGGUUCUGCAUCAAGAAAGCCAAGAUUUUAGAAUUGCUUUGCUGUAAGCAUCAUGGAUACAUGGAUGUUCAGCCAAAUAGAACAGGCUAUAUCUGGUCUGAUGCACACUCCAAGAUACGCAUGCUUCAAUUGUAAGGGUGUCGUCACUUGCUCAUCUGUUAGUCUGCUCCUAUUGCACCAACCUUCUUAUACUGACAUCAGCUGAGCACGCUAUGAAGAUGCGCAAGGAUGCAAGACCUGCUAGCGUCAAAAGACAGGACUCAACAGCAGGAGAAAAACCUGGUCCAGACCCAUCUAUAUUGCCCAUCUGAGCACUGCCAGAGCAGAACUAUGGAGCCAGGCCUGGAUUUUAGCUGGUAAGAGGAACCUAUCUGUUUUUCUCCAGAAGAGAUGCUAAAGACAAGCAGCUAGGCUGGUCACAGGGACAAGGCACUGAAAUGAAACAAAGACUAAUUUGAAUUGACAGUGUAAGUUCAACCGCUGUGUCUACUAGCUGUAGAAAAUCCAGGGGGAUUUAUUUGAGACGUACAGAUGGUGCAAAUGCAGUGAAAAUAAGUUAAAUGUGCUUUGCUCAUUCUUAAUAUCUAAUUUCCUAUACCUCUAUAUAAUUAUUUUAGCUAAGAAAAUUCAUAGCAAUCUCAGCAAUGAAUGUCCUUAUUUUCUGCCAACUUUAUCUUUUGUUACUGAAACAUGCUAUUAAUUCCCUUUCCUCUCCUCAUCCCACUUCACUGUCGUGGUUACAGCAACUCCAGUCUUAAUUGUUUCUCUCUCACUGUAGGAAAUAUGCCUUGGUCCACUGUUUUUACUGCAAAACUUGAAAAAUCCUAUCUAUAUUAAUCGGAGAGUUGUGCCAUAUAUAAACAUAAUGCUAAUUAUGCUAUGGAGAUAUUAUUUCCAACAUCUAAAACAACCAUUUUAUGAUUCAGUGUUUUCAGAUGAGUAGUGUUCAUGUGAAAGCAAAUUGUGGUGAACAACACUCAAAGAACAUUAAUGUGUGUGAAUCAACUUAAAGCAAUAACUGUGGCCUUGGACGCACAGACAAUCAUUCACUCAUGCUACAAAGCAAUCAUUUUGUCUGAGAAGAGAGAAAAAUAGGUUGGAGCAACAAUUUGUUCCUAAAAAAAAAUGGAAUCAGUUAAUCAAUUGGCAGUAUCUAUCUGAUUUAUUUGUGUAAUAACAUGACUGACAAUUUACAGCCUUUGCCAAUAAAUCUCAAACUGAUGAUUUGCUGCAGUUAUAAGCCAUUUAUUUUCUAAAGAUGACCUUUAAUCUCUCUGAUGAUUGAUUAAUCAGUAUAUCAUAAAUAGAGUCAUGAGAGGUGAAGAAAAAUUUUCUUGACGAUGGCCAAUUUUGUGUUUCUAAAGAGCUUUGCAGGUGUGUCCAGCACUCAGAGAGCUUCCCUGAAGACAGCAGAGGAGCAAAGUGGUGUGUGGUUCUGCACUGAGAGAAGCUGAAAACAAUAAAAUUAUCUAAUUUGUUCAUUCAAAAAACCACAGUGAACAAAACCAAUCCUUCAGUCAUAAAGGCCUUGGCUGUUGCCUGUAGUGCUCCUAAAUAAGAGGGAGUGUGGAUGCUUAACCCCUGGACAGAAGAAAGAAUGAUCUGUGUCUGUGAUUUCAAUGUUCUCUUAACCUCCCCCACUCUAGGGUGGUGAUUAGGUACUUUAGUAUAUUUGGUAAACACUGUUUUCAGCCGUUCUACCUAAUGAAUAGAGAGAGACAUUGCCAGCCCUUUCCCCUAAUCAUAUGUGGAAGAGUGAAUAGAAGGUAAGCAUCAUUUACAAUUCUCGGUCAUCGACUAAGUAUGUGGGAGCAUCUCUCACUGUCUGGAGAUAUGUUUUCAUGACUUUCUUGCCAUCUCUGAGAAAUGGGCUCUCCCUCCCAUCUAGCUGUCCCCUGUCAAGCAUGUACUCCCGCUUUCUCUGAGCAUGGUGUGGCACUGAGGUGAGUAAACAGUAACUGCUCAUAAAAAGAGGGAAAAGAGAUAUACUUAGGGAAAAAUAAUUUUUUUUUCAUCCACUUGGUUAGUGACAAUUUGAAUAACUAGCUAUCAGCUGAAUGUCAGAGCCAUUGUAAGGAAGAGUGGGGAUAAAGAGGAGGUGAGCACUCAGUUGGCUCAAUUUCAAUUCUGAAGCUAUACCCACAGGGCUCCUGAAAUAUAGGAUCUGCUGUUCCUUUACUCCUGGCCUUGCAGCUUCCUUGUUCUUGUGGCCACACAGUCAGUUCUGUCUGCGCGCACACUGGUUGCGUGUGACUCAAAAGUUGGCUGCUCACUUCCAAGCUUUAUAUUAUAGAGUAGUUCAUAAAGUGCAACCAAAAUAAAAUUAAGAUACCUGACACCUGGUUUUUACUUGAUUUAUAGAGCUGCAAAUGGCUAUACCAGAAGUGAUAAAGUGAGGAACCAGGACCACAGUGUAUUAAAAUGCUACUUUUGACUGAUAGCUUGGGAAAGCCUGAUGAUAGCUGGAGAGAUGGUCUGUGAUUUUAUUCCAGGCCUCUAUCCCCUUCCUGGACUACAAUCUCUUUAUCUUUAUAAAUUGUGUAAGUGGCAGAUUUAAUAAUUCUUCUACUCCUUAGGCACUGUCUGCACAUGGACAGCCUCUAGAAAUUGUAUCUUUGUGACUUACUGAUCUGAAAAAAAGCUGUCGUGUGCAAACAUUAAGUGAAUUUAGGCUCUCUAAGAGCUCCAAGUUUCACAUACUGGUAAAAUACCAUUGCUAAGAUAUGUUUCUUUCACUUGUUUUAAAGUAUCGAAAUGAUAAAAUACACGACAGUUCCCAUUCUUCUAUUAACCCAGCACUUUGUUCUUAUUUAGGCAACUGGAUACAGAGAAAUAAAUCUAUUUCCUUCACUUCUCAAGGUAGAGGGGUUAGAGACUAUUGAUGCAGUGUAUUCAUAUCCUGUGGAGAGAAAUAAGCUACCCUUAUUCUAGGAUAAGAUCCCUCUUUUGUCUUUGCAGGCAGACAACACCGUGGAGAGGCUGAACGCUGAUACUGAAUGUGAGGAAAACAACACACUUCUCAAAACAGCUGUUUUCUAGACUUAAAAAGCUAUGUAACCAGUACACUCUUCUCUCCUUACUGAAUCUUAAUAAGCAAUAAAAAUCUGUUCUGAAAUCUUUUAAAAUUAGCAAGGUCUUUACAUUUAUUUAAAUGGACUGUGGGACAGGCCCUAAAAAACCCCAACUGCUGCAGAUGCUUAUCUUACUGACCAUUUGAAGACUAUUUUAGCAAUACAGCUACUACAAGCAAAUAAAGCAAAUAUUCAAGAUGCACAAAGUAUUCUAAUGCUGCUGUAUCCAUGUUGUAAGUAUUGUACACACCUUUCUGAGUUUCCCAGUUGUUACCUAGUAUUACCAACGGGUGGGCCAGUCACUAAGGAUCUGUGGUCUAACUCCUACAGUAAAGUUGUGCAGCCCAGAGGCUCUACCUCAGGAAGAGGGCGUACACAGGCUGGAUCUGGUUUAGUGACACAAGGGACUUGACAAGGGAGCAGUGUUCAGAGCCUAUAAGACAUGAAAUCAUUUACUCUCAAAAGAAAAUUUCACAAGUGAUAAAUUUGCUUGUUCUCACACAGAUGUUAUAUGGCAGAAGUCUUCACCAUCCCAGCCACAGAUACAUACCUAAAUGUAGUCCAUUGAAAAUCCAAAAGAUUUUCUUCCGAAUAUAAUCACAGA
rnacentral:lncRNA from 1 species